GACGAACGCUGGCGGCGUGCUUAACCAUGCAAGUCGAACGGAGCACCCUUGACUGAGGUUUCGGCCAAAUGAUAGGAAUGCUUAGUGGCGGACUGGUGAGUAACGCGUGAGGAACCUGCCUUCCAGAGGGGGACAACAGUUGGAAACGACUGCUAAUACCGCAUGAUAUAUUUGAGGGGCACCCCUUGGAUAUCAAAGAUUUAUCGCUGGAAGAUGGCCUCGCGUCUGAUUAGCUAGUAGGCGGGGUAACGGUCCACCUAGGCGACGAUCAGUAGCCGGACUGAGAGGUUGACCGGCCACAUUGGGACUGAGAUACGGCCCAGACUCCUACGGGAGGCAGCAGUGGGGAAUAUUGGGCAAUGGGCGCAAGCCUGACCCAGCAACGCCGCGUGAAGGAAGAAGGCUUUCGGGUUGUAAACUUCUUUUGUCAGGGAACAGUAGAAGAGGGUACCUGACGAAUAAGCCACGGCUAACUACGUGCCAGCAGCCGCGGUAAUACGUAGGUGGCAAGCGUUGUCCGGAUUUACUGGGUGUAAAGGGCGUGCAGCCGGGCUGGUAAGUCAGAUGUGAAAUCUGGAGGCUCAACCUCCAAACUGCAUUUGAAACUGCUGGUCUUGAGUACCGG
rnacentral:rRNA from 1 species